rnacentral:rRNA from 1 species
CGCGUAGGUGGUUCGAUCAGUCGGAGGUGAAAGCCCUCGCUCAACCGAGGAUCCGCGUCCGAUACUGUCGAACUUGAGUGCAGGAGAGGAGAGCGGAAUUCCCAGUGUAGCGGUGAAAUGCGUAGAUAUUGGGAGGAACACCGGUGGCGAAGGCGGCUCUCUGGACUGCCACUGACACUGAGGCGCGAAAGCUAGGGGAGCAAACGGGAUUAGAUACCCCGGUAGUCCUAGCCGUAAACGAUGGGCACUAGGUGUGGGAGGUAUCGACCCCUUCCGUGCCGCAGCUAACGCACUAAGUGCCCCGCCUGGGGAGUACGGCCGCAAGGUUGAA